rnacentral:lncRNA from 1 species
AAUGCUGCACACAUAGGAGUUAGUAUAAUUCAGAAAUUUAGUCUGUAUUGCAUUUGGAAAUAAUUUUGUGAAGGUUAUUCAUGCAGCAUUAUUAAUAAUUGCAAAAUAUUGGAAACCAUAUAAAUGACCAGUUCUAGAAGAUUGGUUGAAUAUACUCUGGAACAUACAAUAGACUACUAUGUUUAUAAAAGCUAUCUGUUUUUAUAAAUAUAUGGAGUAAUUUCCAGGAAAUAUUACAUGAAACAAAAAGCAGAAACAAAUACCCAUAGUGCUACUUGUCAUACAAGAAAAAGGGAGAAUUAAAGAAUGUGUAUGUUCAGGAAGGAUAAAGCAGAAAACAGGAGUGAGACUUGGAUAUUGGGGUAUACUUUCUUGGCAUAGUUUCAACUUUUGAAAGCAUGUUAAUGUCCAAC